rnacentral:rRNA from 1 species
AACGAACGCUGGCGGCAUGCCUAACACAUGCAAGUCGAACGAGACCUUCGGGUCUAGUGGCGCACGGGUGCGUAACGCGUGGGAAUCUGCCCCUUGGUUCGGAAUAACAGCGAGAAAUUGCUGCUAAUACCGGAUAAUGACGUAAGUCCAAAGAUUUAUCGCCAAGGGAUGAGCCCGCGUAGGAUUAGCUAGUUGGUGUGGUAAAGGCGCACCAAGGCGACGAUCCUUAGCUGGUCUGAGAGGAUGAUCAGCCACACUGGGACUGAGACACGGCCCAGACUCUACGGGAGGCAGCAGUGGGGAAUAUUGGACAAUGGGCGAAAGCCUGAUCCAGCAAUGCCGCGUGAGUGAUGAAGGCCUUAGGGUUGUAAAGCUCUUUACCCGGG